UAGGCAUUUGUCAAAACUCAUCACAUGGUCCACUUAAGUACCAUAUUUUUAAAAAUAAGAAUAUUUUAUCUUUCGUGUCCUAGUUCAAUAUUCUAAUUUGAUAAUCUGGUGAUUAAACGAUGGUAGAUUAAGUCUGUGUCUUAUGACACAUGAGUCAUUCUAAAGAAAAAAGGGUUCUCAAAAUACCUUGGGAGAAAAUGUUAACAGUCAUUAAUUCUGGGUGCCUAGAACCUGGGUGUAUGUUAUAUUAUUAAUUGCAUUGUUCUAUGUUUUUAGUUUUUUUUUUAAAAAAAACCAACCUUGAGAUCAGGGGUUCCCAAUAUUCUUGUAAGGAGGAAUUGGUCUUGGUUUCCCUGAAUCCAGAAGACUUAAAGGAUUGAGACAGUGAAGUUCUUAGAGGGAACUGUGCAGGGGAUUAUGGGAUACUUCAGAGAAGAGGCACCGAAGCAUCAACCAUCUUGGAACUCUGCCAACUAGAACCUCAGACUCAACUGACACAUCCAAACUAAUGGCCGAGUGUCUUUUAGCAGCAUCAAGCAACUCCCUUACAAUACCACCCAAAGUAAUUUUCCUAAAGAAAUUCUCCUUGUAUGUAACUUCAUUCAGGUUCUUGGGGCUUGCCAAGUAGCCAGCAAUGUGACCUUAACUUGGUCAGUUGACCUCUCUGGUCCUAAAUUUCCUAAUCUGCAACAUUUGAAGGUUUAUUUUCUAAAUGUUUUUACUUUAGUACUAAUUUCUGUGAGAUAAUCAAGCUAUUCAAUGUUAGGUUGAGGUACGUAAAUCAUUCCUGCCGGCCUGUGUACGAGGUGGUUCUGGUAUCACUGUGGCCCAGCAUGUGUCUGUCUGUCAGCGUUGGCAGGUGAGUCAUGCUCCAGCUACCUCUCAGAUUCCCAUGGUUUAGAACUAGGGGUGGUGCCUGGGUAGAGGGACCAGUUUUGCUUUGUGGCUCUCACUUGAGAGGCCUGUGGCCUUGACCCUUCCUGAUUCAUGCAGACUGUGCUUGAAAGUAUGAUUAUAAUUUCACUGACCUGUGAAAGGGAGGCAAGAGCGCUUAAAGGGAGAAAUCUAAUUCCCUGUAUUAUUAAACCUUCUACUAAUUUGAAGCUUAAAAUCUCUUAUUUGUGAAUAUCAUUAAUGUGUCUUGGAGUCUGCAAAUGACAAGCAGAAAGGACUUUGAUCCCAUUGACACCAACACCCACCACCACUACCAUUUUACAGAAUAAACAAGACCUACAGAGGGAAAUGCACUGGCCCCAAACCACACUGCUGAUGAGAAUUUUCUGUGAUGAUGACAUGGUGUCUUCUGUAUUGAGUAAAAAGGGAAAAAAAUUACAAAACAGCUUAAAGUACAAGCCAACAUUUUACCAUGACUAAAGGAAGGGGCUCCCAGUCUUGAUUCCCCAUUUCCAUUGCCACCAUCUGGGCCAGGACCACAGACAGGGCUCCUAACUGUUUGUCCUCCUUCUUCCUGCCUGCUCCAAUCUAUUCUACACAUAGGCAACUAGAGGCUCUUUUGACAUGAAAAUCAGUGGCAUCACAGCUCUUCAACAUUCUCUUGUGGUGCACCCUGUUUUUUUCCUUCAUGGCACCACAUUUGCGAUUACAUAUUUUUGUUGUUGUUGUUCAGCGCCUGCCACUCCUUGACAACCUGCAGGGUAACAGAGACAAUGAAGUCCCCGGCACCUAGGCACCCAAUUAAUAUCUGAAUGAAUAAAUAACUACUAACAGGCUAGUGUAAGAGCAGCAUUAAAGUCAACACUUUAAGAGUUAAGGUUUUCUGUUUUUGUACCAAAAGUCCCUGGGGAAAUUACGCAAGUAGGCAGGGAACAGAGAUGGGGAGAUAAUCUAACAAUCCAGAGAAAGGAAGAAACAAAGGGUUUCUCUGCCCCCGUCAUCCUCCAGGCAAGGUCACAGAUGCUGGUUUGAAGGUUCUGAGCCUUGAAAUUUUUUGUCAUGGAGUCACCUGACAUUCAGAUCAAAGGCCAACUCCACUCUAUGUUUGAUGAUCCUUGCAGCAAGCACAGAUCAAGGUUCCCAAGACCUGCAGCAAUUGGAUUACAAGAUUAGAUCAAUUUGCAAAGUCCACCAAGAUCACAGCAGUUGCCAUCCGUUAGGUACCUAUUGUGUGCAAAGUGCUUUGUCUGUAUUAACCCAUUUAAGCCUCUCAAUAAAGGAAGUGUUUAUUAUCCCCAUUUCAGAGUUGAAGAAAUGAAGGCUCAGAGAGAUGAAGUAAUUUGCCUACACUCACACAGCUGGUAAGAAACAGAAUUGGAAUAUGAACCCAUUGCGGAGUCCAUGCCCUUCGCCAUAUCACAUGAUCCAUCAUUAUUCUUGUUUGGCUUUCACAUAUUUUGACCACCGGCAAAAAUAUUGCUUAUUUGUAACAGAUAAAGAUGAACAAGAUGGAGGGGUGCAGGAUGCUUGGUGAAUACGGAACAUACCACCUGUGCUUUGGAACUACCUCACCCACUGUCAUGGCAUGCUAGAAGGGGAUGGAGACCUAGAAAUGGUUCAGACCCUCACUAGUUAAAGUGUGGUCCGUGCACCAGUGGCGUCAGCAUCACCUGGGAACUUGUUAGAAAUGCAGCAUCUUAGGCUCCACCCCAGACCUCCUGACCAGAAUCCCCAUUUUAACACAGUAUGCAGGUGAUGUGGAUGCAUGUUCAAGUUUGGGAAGCACUGGUCGGACCAAAGCCACUGAGACAAGUGAAGUGACCUGUCAACACUGUAGAUUGAAUAACUAGGGAAGGCUGAGGAAUGCAAGUGAAUGUAAAAACCACCUGGAGGGAAGGAAGCAUUGCAGCAAGAAAGGAACAGCAAGUGCAGAGGCCUGAGGCAGAACCAGCGGGGAAAAUGCUUUGAGGUGAGGCAGGCAACGGUGCCAAGAUAUUCGAUGGAGAAAGAAUAAUUGUUUCAACAAAUGGUGCUGGGACAACUGGAUAUUCACAUGCAAAAGAAUGAAGUCGGAUCCCUGCCUCAUGCAUAUGUGUGUGUGUGUGUGUGUGUAUAAAUUUAUAUGACAGACACUGUCCUUUGUGUUAUAGAUGUACACAUCACCACCAUCACCUAUGAAGCAGUCAGGGUUUUUUCCCCAAUAGUUCCCUGGUUAGUUUGAAGCAGUCUUGUAAAAAGGAAAAUCAAAUCUGAAUCUGAGCAGAUUAUAUUCUGGGGCUGUAAUGAGACUAUAGGAAACUCUGCUAUGGGGAAUCUGGGUUCUUCAAUAAAUAAUUUCAAGAAAGGAAAAGAGAUAGAAGGAGAAUCUAUAGAUUAAAAGAGACAUAGGCAUUUCAUCAGAGGCAAUGUAAGAAUGUUUCUAUUAUAUAUUACAUAUUAUAUAUUCAUUCAUUCAUUUAUCCAACACACAUAUACACAUACUGCUUCCCUACACGAUGCCAGGUACUAUUCCACACACAAAGGAUCCAGCAAAAUGUACAAAAAUUCUAGCCCUUGGCUGGGCACGGUGGCUCAUACCUGUAAUCUCAGCAUUCCAGGAGCCAAGGCUGGCAGGUCACUUGAAGUCAAGAGUUUAAGACCAGCCUGGCCAACAUGGUGAAACCCAGUCUCAAUUAAAAC